GGUGGCUCAGUGGUGAAGUGCUUGCCUUGCAUGCAUGAGGCCCUGAGUUCGAAUUCUCAGCACCA
rnacentral:tRNA from 1 species